UCCUCAUCACGUGAGCGCACAGAGUAAGCAAAACAAAACUGAUCUGUUUGUGGCACCGGUUUAGAACAUUAACCAGACCAUGAUUCCCUUUCUUUCAAUCUAUUCGCAUGAUCCACUCAAAGAAAAAUUAAUAGACUACCUUGGAUUCAGAAGUCAGAAGAUGUACAAAACCGAUCAGCCCUUGAUUCUCCUCAAAACCGCAACCUUAAUAGAGAAAUAGCGCAGAGAAGAUUGUAACCCAGACCUCGCUUCCUUAAACCGUGAACAUAGAUUUCAACUUGAGUUAUUCCCCUUUCUUUUCCUCUGGUUCAGCGAUGACAACCAUCACCAAGGAGGUGAGGUAUGCUCUUGCUGUUUUCUUGUUCCUUCUCUCUUGAGGCAGUUCUGAUUGAGGCUUCCAUUGCAUGCACAUGAUCAAGCUGCGAUAGAAUUCGUCCUCCCAUUGCAUGCGGUUGGAACCUGUUCCUUGGAGCUUAGGAUGAGUGUUAGGGCUGUUCCUUGAUUGUUGGUGAUUCAGUGUACGAAUAUAAGCAUGUGCACGUAACUCUUAUUGAGUGGGCUGACUUUUGGUGCUGUUGAUUAUUGCUUGGAUGCAAGGAGGAUGUAAAAGCUUUUGAGGACUUGGAUAUUUGCUGUUGGCUUCUACUGUUUUGGGCAUGCUGCUAUUGAUGUGAUAUUUUAUGGAUGACUGUAUGAAAUUGAGAAGCUUUUAUUACUGUGAACUAUGAUUUUAUUAUUGCAUUACGAUUUUAUGACCAGCAAGUAUUAUGGAAACAGAUGUUGAAACGUUUGCGAAAAGGAUUUUGACAUGUUAUCUAAAUGCUGAGUUUUGAAAAGUCUUUGCGAGCACUUUGUAAGUUGUCGUACUGGGGCUACGGACCUCCGAUUUUCUUAUAAUUUAUAUGCACGCGUAGCCCCAAGUGUCUAGUUUCAUUAUAUAUAAACCUUGCAAAGAAAUUCUGAAAGCUCGAUUUAUUAUGAAUUUUACCAGCCAGGACGUUUGUGACAUUUUCACUGUUUUAUCUCUUAUUUUGCGAGUUAUAUUUCGUGGGGCAAACCAACUGCAAAUAACUAUUAUUUUAUAUGAACGUGAAGCCCCAAAUGUCUAGUUUCCAGAUUACAAAGAAUAUGUUUUUGAAUCGUUGAACUGGAUUUUAUACGAAUUUUUAAACACAGCAAGGUCUAUCAGGAAAUUUAUAUUUUUAGUAAGUUUAAGAAAUUUUGCGUAUUCUGAUUUUUGUAAUUAACCAGAUCCCCUCUUUAGUUUUAAUUGGCAAUGUAAAAGUGAAUUUUUUCAGUCUCUAAAAUACUAUUAAAGAACUCUAAUUCCGCUUAGCAAACAACUCUCUUGGAGGCCUACAAGAGAGGGUGUUACACAAAUAUUCUGGGAUUUUGAAGAACAGUAGCUGUGUUGUGUGUACAGUAGGCUAUUGGGAGUUUGUGGACCCUAGAUUGAUGAAGUUGAACUUCUGUAAUUAAUGAACUAAGUCAGAAUCAUGUGAUUAAGGGCUUGUGGCUUUGUUGGGAGCCUUAAGACGUAAAUCGUUAAAGGAGAACGUAGUCUUUAUGUUAAUGCUUUUGAGCUAUGUAUGUUGAUACAUUUGU